UGGUGACGAAGUGCAAGAAUUUACAAGAGAUCCCUCCCUAGCUUAUUAUUACGAGUCAUCAGAUGAUGAGGAUUAUGAGGGAACAGAAGAAGAAGAGAUUGAUUCUUCUUAGUAGUUGAAGUGGCCAAAUCUUCGUAUCAAAUUUAGUGGCUAAGAAAAGAACAAGGAGAGAGCAAAUAUGAAGAUGGGGCAAAACAUGGUGGGACAGUGAAAACGGCGAGAACUUUUUAAUAGUAUGUUGAAUAUGUAGGGUUAAUUCUUUACCUUUAAUUGCAGAGAAUAAUAAACUCUAUCAUCCCUACUAUUAUUGUUGGAUUCUAAAAUUAUGGGUAAUUGACUUACAGUUUGAUGAAAGUUUUAUUUAA